rnacentral:rRNA from 1 species
AACGCGAAGAACCUUACCUAGCCUUGACAUAUUUAAGAACUCCGUAGAGAUACAGAGGUGCCUUCGGGAGCUUUCUUACAGGUGCUGCACGGCUGUCGUCAGCUCGUGUCGUGAGAUGUUGGGUUAAGUCCCGCAACGAGCGCAACCCUCGUCACUAGUUACUAACGGUUCGGCCGAGGACUCUAGUGAGACUGCCUUCGCAAGGAGGAGGAAGGUGAGGACGACGUCAAGUCAUCAUGGCCCUUACGGCUAGGGCAACACACGUGCCACAAUGGCCAGGACAGUGAGACGCGAUACCGCGAGGUGGAGCAAAUCUAUAAACCUGGUCUCAGUUCGGAUUGUAGUCUGCAACUCGACUACAUGAAGCUGGAAUCACUAGUAAUCGUAGAUCAGCUAUGCUACGGUGAAUACGUUCCCGGGUCUUGUACUCACCGCCCGUCACACCAUGGGAGUUGAUUUCACCCGAAGCGGGGAAGCUAAACUGGCUACCCUCCACGGUGGAAUUAGCGACUGGGGUGAAGUCGUAACAAGGUAACCUUAAUUAAAA